GAGACAGCAGUCGCCGCGGGAAUACGAAGGGUGCAAGCGUUACUCGGAAUUACUGGGCGUAAAGCGUGCGUAGGUGGUGGUUUAAGUCCGUUGUGAAAGCCCUGGGCUCAACCUGGGAAUUGCAGUGGAUACUGGGUCACUAGAGUGUGGUAGAGGAUAGUGGAAUUUCCGGUGUAGCAGUGAAAUGCGUAGAGAUCGGAAGGAACAUCUGUGGCGAAGGCGACUAUCUGGGCCAACACUGACACUGAGGCACGAAAGCGUGGGGAGCAAACAGGAUUAGAUACCCCAGUAGUCCCUGUCUCUUAUAC
rnacentral:rRNA from 1 species